rnacentral:rRNA from 1 species
AUUGAACGCUGGCGGCAUGCCUUACACAUGCAAGUCGAACGGCAGCAUGAUCUAGCUUGCUAGAUUGAUGGCGAGUGGCGAACGGGUGAGUAAUACAUCGGAACGUGCCCUGUAGUGGGGGAUAACUAGUCGAAAGAUUAGCUAAUACCGCAUACGACCUGAGGGUGAAAGUGGGGGACCGCAAGGCCUCAUGCUAUAGGAGCGGCCGAUGUCUGAUUAGCUAGUUGGUGAGGUAAAGGCUCACCAAGGCGACGAUCAGUAGCUGGUCUGAGAGGACGAUAAGCCACACUGGGACUGAGACACGGCCCAGACUCCUACGGGAGGCAGCAGUGGGGAAUUUUGGACAAUGGGCGAAAGCCUGAUCCAGCAAUGCCGCGUGUGUGAAGAAGGCCUUCGGGUUGUAAAGCACUUUUGUCCGGAAAGAAAUGGCUCUGGUUAAUACCUGGGGUCGAUGACGGUACCGGAAGAAUAAGGACCGGCUAACUACGUG